GACGAACGCUGGCGGCGUGCUUAACACAUGCAAGUCGAACGGAAAGGCCCUGCUUUUGUGGGGUGCUCGAGUGGCGAACGGGUGUGUAACACGUGAGUAACCUGCCCUUGUCUUUGGGAUAACUUCAGGAAACUGGGGCUAAUACCGGAUAGGAGCUCCUGCGGCAUGGUGGGGGUUGGAAAGUUUCGGCGGUUGGGGAUGGACUCGCGGCUUAUCAGCUUGUUGGUGGGGUAGUGGCUUACCAAGGCUUUGACGGGUAGCCGGCCUGAGAGGGUGACCGGCCACAUUGGGACUGAGAUACGGCCCAGACUCCUACGGGAGGCAGCAGUGGGGAAUAUUGCACAAUGGGCGGAAGCCUGAUGCAGCAACGCCGCGUGCGGGAUGACGGCCUUCGGGUUGUAAACCGCUUUCGGCUGUGACGAAGCGUGAGUGACGGUAAUGGGUAAAGAAGCACCGGCUAACUACGUG
rnacentral:rRNA from 1 species